rnacentral:rRNA from 1 species
GACGAACGCUGGCGGCGUGCUUAACACAUGCAAGUCGAACGGAAAGGCCCUGCGUUUGUGGGGUGCUCGAGUGGCGAACGGGGGAGUAACACGUGAGUAACCUGCCCUUGACUUUGGGAUAACUUCAGGAAACUGGGGCUAAUACCGGAUAGGAGCUCCUGCUGCAUGGGGGGGGUUGGAAAGUUUCGGCGGUUGGGGAUGGACUCGCGGCUUAUCAGCUUGAUGGUGGGGUAGUGGCUUACCAAGGCUUUGACGGGUAGCCGGCCUGGGAGGGUGACCGGCCACCUUGGUCCUGCGAUACGGCCCAGACUCCUACGGGAGGCAGCAGUGGGGAAUCUUGCACAAUGGGCGGAAGCCUGAUGCAGCAACGCCGCGUGCGGGAUGCCGGCCUUCGGGUUGUAAACCGCUUUCGCCUGUGCCGAAGCGUGAGUGACGGUAAUGGGUAAAGAAGCACCGGCUAACUACGUG